rnacentral:rRNA from 1 species
AAUAGAUACCCAGGUAGUCCACGCCGUAAACGAUGAGUGCUAAGUGUUAGGGGGUUUCCGCCCCUUAGUGCUGCAGCUAACGCAUUAAGCACUCCGCCUGGGGAGUACGGCCGCAAGGCUGAAACUCAAAGGAAUUGACGGGGGCCCGCACAAGCGGUGGAGCAUGUGGUUUAAUUCGAAGCAACGCGAAGAACCUUACCAGGUCUUGACAUCCUCUGACAACUCUAGAGAUAGAGCGUUCCCCUUCGGGGGACAGAGUGACAGGUGGUGCAUGGUUGUCGUCAGCUCGUGUCGUGAGAUGUUGGGUUAAGUCCCGCAGCGAGCGCAACCCUUGAUCUUAGUUGCCAGCAUUCAGUUGGGCACUCUAAGGUGACUGCCGGUGACAAACCGGAGGAAGGUGGGGAUGACGUCAAAUCAUCAUGCCCCUUAUGACCUGGGCUACACACGUGCUACAAUGGACGGUACAAAGAGUCGCAAGACCGCGAGGUGGAGCUAAUCUCAUAAAACCGUUCUCAGUUCGGAUUGCG